CGGGGCCGUGCGGGCGCGGACGCAACUUUCGGCGUGUGCCGAGCGGCGGGGCGGGCGCGGUACGAGCGGAGCGGAUCGGCAAUAGAUGUAUUGCGCGUCCGACUCCCUCCCUUCCCGCCCCUCCCUCCGCCGAAGGUGGGACGGCCGUACGGCGCGGUACGCCCGGCGCUCCAACCGCGGAGCCGCCCCGUCGGGUACCGCCGGGCCGGGUCGAGCCGGGCGGGGCGGGAGGGUGCGCAGCCCUCGCGGGGAACCGGGGCGGAUCGGGCCGUACGGACAGCGCCGACUGCCCGCCGAUUGGCGUCUGCGAUCCUCUCCGAUCGCGGGGAUCUGUUUCCCACCGGGAACAGCCCGGGAUUACCCCCGCUGGUUGCUCUCCCGGAUCCCGGCCGGGGGAAACUCCUUACUCCGGUGCUCGGCCCGAGCCCUCCGGCCCCGCUGCCGGCCCGGGGCGGUGUUUGACAAGGGUGGGCCGGGCCAGGGGCUCCGGCCACCUCCCCGCAGCCGAACGGCAAGCGCCUUCCUGGGAGGGGCCCGCGCCGGGUUCGGGCUUCGAACCCCGAUCCACGGGAUCGGCCGGCGACACCGGGCGUUGCUGCGGGCGGGGCGGGCGCGGCCCGCACUACACUUCCCGGAGGGCCCUGCUGCCACCGGGCCCGCCCCCGCCCCUCCCGGCAUCCGAUUGGUCAUCUCCCCACGGCCGUCCGUCCCUCUCCUCCUCUCAUUGGCUGGCGGAGCCGUCGCUCCGCGGGGGGUAGAACAGGGUGGGGGAGUGGCGGGGCGCUGGCGGCACGCGGGAGCUCGGCGCUGACAGGGCGGCGCGCGGAGGCGCUGCGGGACGGGCCGGGACAGGACGGGCACCUCCUGCCCGCGGCAGGUGAGCUCCGUAAGACUGGUUUAAGCAGUGCAGAAGUUCAUGGAUGGAAGAAGAGUCCUUGUUUCAGAACACCUACACCUGAAGAUUUUAUAAAUGCCAUUAGAAGAGCUGGCGUGCAGGAGGAAUGGAUCUCAUCUGUCUGCUGUGAUUCUUGACCCACCUAAUCGGCUAAUGGCCACGAGCAAUAACAGCGUGGCUCAGGGGAGCGGAGCUGGGGAGAGAUGCAGCCGCUUGGGGCAGAGAAGCACUGCGUUGUACCGAAGGUGUUGCACAUGAUCCUGCCGUUGAUGACCGAACCUCCCUGAAAUCUUCUUAUCAGUUGCUGCCAAGAUGAGAAGGAUAGCAGGAAAGAGGAGUGCAUAAGUGAUUCUCAUGACAGUUAAUUUCAUCAUUUUAUCAAAUGACAGGUUAUUGCUCCUGCUAUGCAAGGAAGUUGAACUGUUUUCCUGAGCAUACCCAGAAUUAAUUCAGCACGAGCUGAUCAGGUUAUCUGACCAGAACGUGCUGGUUACUGCUGGCCUGGGCCAUUCUGAUGGAAGAGCAGGAAGCAUGCAGACCAGCUGCAUCAGUGGCUUGCCUGGGAAGGGGUGUCACCAACAGGGGAGUUGUGGAGCUGGUGGUGGUGAUUUGGUGUUUUCAGCAGGUGCAGCUGCAUCUCUAAGGUAAAAAUUUGACCUGUUGGAAAGCUGUGAAGCUAUGUUAUGUGUAAUAUUUGUGUUUCAGAGAUGUACUGGAUAAUGUAAAGUAAACCUUUGCUCUAUGACUCGUACUCUGCAGUGUGAGUGGAGAGAGGUGGUGUGAGUGUGUGUAGCUGGCAGGGGAUGGUGAUUUCAGGGAAAUCCUCUGUGGUAAAGAUGCUUGAAUGGUACAAAUGUUUCUAUAUCUAGCAGACACUGUUGUGUGAACACACUCAUCAGAGAGGUGGCCUUAACCACUGCUUGCCUUGGAAGAAGGCUUUUGACACUUCGUGUCCUGACCAGCUUUCAGAGAAAAGGGAAGAGCUCUUGCCUCUGCAGCAGAGCCUGUCUGCCUACCAAAUGCUGCUGGUCUGUCAGAUUCCUGCAGUAAGGGCAGGAAUCCAGGAAGACGUGCAAGCUCUCGAUGUUCCCUGUGCUAGUACGGGUGAUCUUUGGUACUGGAGGCAUUCUGGGUAAAACCAGCACACACUUCUUCAAAACCGUCCCUUUCUGCAUGAAGACUGUGGAUUGUAAGUGCUGUCUUAUUAACAGAAUUUGGGCAGACAAAGAACAAGAGGCUUUCUGAGCAGUCAGAAAUCUGAGAGCAGCAACUCUGCUCGUGUCUCCUCUUGGGGCACUGCUAGAUGAAAAGAAUUCAGUCACAGAAAGGACUGAGCUUUCACCUCAGCUGGUGCUGCAUUUGAUACCUUUAAAUUGGUUCUGAGCAAAAGAAUGAGGAAGUAUGCACUGGCCUCUCUCGUGUGCCAUGUGUAAGGGAGGAAAAUAAUGUAUGAUAUCUGGAUAAGAACAUGGUGCGCAUCAGGGAUAGCACCAUGACACUGCUUUGCAGGAGAGAACAGCUUCCCCUGGCUGGCAUAUCCUCAGCAGCACUGCUGUACCUUCAGACCAAAGCUGUUCCCCAGCCUCAUGUUUGCCUCAAAAAUAGUGGCAUGAGGAGGUGAGACUUGGGCAUUCUUAGGACUAAGGCAGAUAAUCCCAGGCUGGGGACUGUGCAUAAACUUAGAGUGGCUAGUAUUUAAAAAUUGUGUAUGAAAAGAAAUAAUAGAUGUGAUAUGACUGUGUGAGACCUAUUGCGUUCCUGCCAAGUUUUCAGUUAAUCUGGUUAUGCACUGCUAUACACUGAGGAAAAAAUUUGAGCUCAUCAAACUGUUUUUUAAUCAUGUUAGCCUCUCCUUGCAGCACAGUGCUCAGUGCAUGCAUAGCUCAAGGAGGCAAACCACAUAAUUUCCAAAAUCCUCAGUUUGCCACUAAUGCAUCUUCUAAGGUGAAGGUGUGCGUGGCUCCAGGCACGGGACAGAGUGCUGUGAUGGCAGACUGAGGUCAGGCCUCUGCUGAGCUCUCUGUAUUCAGAAGUGAAGCACCAUGUCCCAAGGACUGCUGACACAUCUGUGGCUGCUGAGGACUGAGCCUACAGAGCUCCUUCAGACAGCCUGGAAUCCUCACAUCUUAAUGUGGGUCAUUGUCAUACCCAUGUUAAAAUACUUAAUGAAAUACUUGUGGCUUUCUAACCACCCUUUUUGUCUACUCAAGUGUUAAUACCAUAUAGUUACACAUAAUUAAACCAGUUCUGUAAAAUAACAUCUGUCUUGUGUAGAGCACUGUCAUGACUACGUUUUACCAAUGAGUAAAAUUUUAUGUCUAAGCACUUAAAAUGAUCAAGUACUAUAGUUAAGACUGUCAUAUUGUUUAUGUAGCACUAAAAAGAAAACAAAAUACAAUUUUGGAGCAUAUAUAUAUGUGUGUGUGUAUGUGUAUAUAUAUAAAAAUAUAUAUAUGUAUAUAGAUAUACAUAUAUGCCUUUUUUUUUUUAUAAAAGCACCAAAUAAUUGGUUGGUUUCAACUAGACUUUCUGGCUCUUCAGUGGUUGCUGCAUUCUGUAUGAAUAUAUCAGGAUCCUGGGCAUUUGAUAAUUUAUUUUUAUUAUUACAAACACAUGAUUUCUCUGUAUGUUCACCACACAUAUGUUGGACGAAACACAGUUUACCUUCUUGAAUACCAUUGUACUCUCACUUUCAAACUCCUUUAACUUUAGUUGAAUCUCAGUUGAAUAAAACACAUUCCUGAAAAUAAUCCAUACGUCUGUAAUAUGGCAGUUGAUUUUAUGUGACCGUUUUCAUAUUCCGGACACAGCAAAACAUUUUCAAGGCAAUUUGUGUUGAUGGUAUAUGGGGAUAAAGAUCAGUUACUGACAACGUCUAAGGUGCAAGUUUUUUAAAGACUAAUGAAUUUUAGUACCAAUGAGAUUAAGACUAAUGAGUUUUAAAAGACUAAUGAAUAAUUAGAAAUUAUCAGAAAAGGAAUAGUAGAUUUUCUAGCACUUUAGGAUUUUGAAGGCAUAUGAAAUGGUUUCAUAGAUGUGCAUGCUUGAUCAAAUGGCUGAGUAGGGUGGAAGAAUUCCUUGUGGGCUUCUGUGUCUUUUGUUACACCUGGACUCAGACUAAGUCGUCUUAGUUGUGCUUUUGGCUUAGAAGAGAGAGAGGUACCUCGGUGUAGCAAAGAGCUGGGGCAUGGCAGCUCCCACUGAACUGCUAGGCACGUUUUCUUAAAUCUUUUCUUUAAAAACAAUAACAAAAACAUUUGGAGCACGUGGAACAAAACCAACGAAUUUGGCAAGUCUUCUCUCUUCUACAAUCAAGCCUUUUUCAAAAAUGCUAUUUAAUAUCACCACACUUGGUUUCAAGGAGUGUGCUGUUUUAUUGGCUUUAGGUAGGUUUAUUUCCUCCACCCGUCCACCCCAGUGCCAAUUAAUCAAACAUCACAUGGAUUUUUUUCAGAGCAACUGUCUUUUGUAUGCAAAAGUGUAAUGUCUCCUCACUGCUAGAAAUAAUUAUUAGGUUUAAAAUAAUCUGACAGCAUCCUGCUGUGUAUAAAUUAGGUUUGUUCUCUGCUAAGAUUAGUUAGCUGGUACCCAUUCACUAACACGUCAUAAAAAUGCAAUCGCAAGUUGAUCGCAUUUGGUUAUCUGCCUUUUUUCUUCUUAGUGGGCUUUUUGUUGCUGUGCUGUCACCCAGGCUGAAAUAAAUGUAUGCAAGCCAUGCAAUUCAAAGUUCUGUGCAGCCUGGGGAGAUGGUACUGGCUCUUCAGCAGCAGGCUCAGGGACACCGACACUGCAGAAGGGAAGCAGCGGUUUGCACUUCAACUUCUGAAUCUUAUGCAACUUUGGUUUUGGCCAACUUGGGUAUCUUCUCUCUCAGGCAAGCAGUAUGUUAUCAGUGAGGUCCCAAAUGCCAGAUGUAAUUACCUCACGUGUUUAGAGGGGCGGUGUUAUGUUUUGACGUGUAUGUGCAAGCCUGUUUUCAUGCAGAAGAACAUAUUUGACAUGGGAAGAAUGCUGUGUGGUUCAGAAGUUAGAAACAUUAUUUAAAGUUGUGCACUGGUGUUUUAGAUUUCACAAAAGGCCACAAAGUUUUUAUUUCUACGUUUAUGAUUGAUUAGGGUUAGAGUUUUAAAAGCUUAACGCCGGCUACAAGUGCUUUGUAGUCAGUCACUGAGAAUUAUAGGCUUGGCAUAGUUCACAUUUCUAUUCUUCAGUAUAUCCAUUACUGUUAGAUGCUGAGUAGUCAUUGCACACAGAUGACUGAUUUUUUUAUUUUAUUUUUUUUAUUUUACAGUUCUACACAUGUGGAAAAAUACUUUGUUAAAGCAGCUCCUGGGUGAACGGGGUAAUUAAAGAACUGCGCCGCUUUUAUUGGAGUUGACACAUGCUGCACGUUCCUUAAAACUCAGUAUGUGAGCAGAAUGCUUCCAAGAUUUAUUGCCAGUCGGACAAGUAGGGAUAUUUUCAAUAGGAGUAAAGAUAACUUCAAUUUUUACACUGUUAAAUAAAACUGUCUUUAGGAAGAGAACUAUUACUGCAGUACAUUGCUUAUGCCCUUGUAUUUUUCUGUAUAUACACAUUUCAUAGACACACCUGCACACAAAUGCUGGAGACCUGAGCACUUUUAUUUGACAGUAAUUGUAUGAUCUGUUUUUAUUUAUCUGGAGAAAAAAUAGUGUUGUAGUGCUGACUGAGGAUCAUAGUUUGCUUGGUGCCAGAGGAAUCCUGCAGUUGGUUUCUUUAUUUAAACUGAAGUGCAAUCGUUAGUUUGACUUGCAGCUCUUAGUGUCUGAGAGCUCGGUGUAGCAAGUGAGGAAUCUCCUGUAACAUAAAUUGGAGACUUGGUUUUGUUUUAAAUGAUAUGAUGAGUGCAACAUUCUUCAUGCAUAAUGCCUUAGAAGUUGUGAAAAAAGUAGACUCAUAACUGCAGCACACAGUAACUAAGUGCGUUGUACAUGAAAUCCCUCAAAAUGUCUAUUGAACAGAUACAGUUACUGAUAGUGUCAUUUUUAGUGAUGCGAUCUGUUUCCUUUCCCCUGCUUUCUUUUUCCAGCAUAGCGGAACAAUUUGAAGUCCAUUUGAGAACACUCAGUCUGCCUUUCCUGUUAACAGCUCAUGUCUUAAAAGUAUCUUUAACAUUCCUUUUUUAAAGCUACGAGUAUGUGUUUAAGGCAGAGUUCACAAACACGUAGCUCUCAAGAUCAAGCCAUUUCUUAGCUCACUUUGCAUGCAUUUUGUUCACACAGCUCAUGGUGUGGAGCACCCUGCCAAGCACACUCUGCUCCUCUGGGCUGCAGUGAGAAGUGGAUGACCGGUGCUGCACACAGCUAAGCACACAGCCUUAUCAGCAAGCGUGCUUUUAGGUAGGUACGGGGUGCAAAGUGCUUUCCUGAACGUGUAGGCAGGUGUGGAAAAUAUCAGAAGGCCGGGUUCUUCUGCUGUGACUCCUUAGAGCAAGCCCAGCACGGGGCUGACACUAUCAGCAGCAGCCACACCUCUGCCAGCCCCAGACGGUGCCAGGUGGGUGGAAGCUGUGUGCCUGGGAUCAGUGGGGAGGCAGGUGCUGCUGCGAAUGUGCUGUUUCUUGUUUUCUGAAUGCUUCCAGGUUAAAGCACAGCCAUCUCCAUACUGACAGAGAGGAAGUCACAGAGUUACAGCGUUGACCAGCACAGUGGCUGGAGGUGAUUUCUUUUUUUUUUCUCUCCCCCCUCCAAGUCUUCUGUUAAAAUAGUGAUAAUUAAAUCAUAGACAACUUUUGCAUGGAAAGCCCAGUAUGGCGAUGUUAUUUAAUAAGAGGUAAGAAAUGCUUUGGCAACAUUGAAUUCUUAGUAACAUCAUGUAUCAUCUGUGUUUUGUGUGGUUGCAAAAAUGUUGCUCUUACUGCUAUUUGGUUUAAGACCAUCAUGUUUCAUUUCUGUAUUUUGAGACACAUAAACUGUUAAAGCUCUAAGCACUUCUCAGGCAUUACCUCUGACUUGCUAUUAUUGCAUACUAUAAAACAUAAUAAAACACAAUAUUAAAGCCUAUGCUGAAAGAAUAUUAUUUGGUGGCUAUGAAUAAAAAAUGUGGACAAGUUUUUAAAAUCUGUUUGUUUGUUUUUUGCUAAUUCUUUACAGAAAGUGUUACAAUUAUUAGCAUUAUUUUUAAUACAAAAAAAGUGCUCCUUACAGGGAUGCAUAACGUGCAGUAGUAUACUGGUGUUUUAUAUUUCUAGGGCUGUAUUAUAGAAACUGAAAAUAUACACUUUUUAGCAUCUUGUUAGCAUAUGCAGUAGGAACUAGUUUUAUAUCUGAACGUGCCAGUGAGAUGCUAUGUAUUUUUAGCUGUUUCUGCAUCCCAAUAAAUUUAUCCCACAGACCGGGCUCUGCAAGUUGAAGAUGAAAAAUUGGUUUCCGAACUCCUUGUGUGCUGCUUUAACAUCGCAAGUAGAUUCCCAUGUGCUAAAGUGUAAACUACCAACUAAUCCGUAGCAGUUUUACAGGAGAGAGUCACUUAAUUAACACUUUUAAUUUCAGAUGUGCAAGCGAGGUCUGGGAAGUGGAGAGAGGCUUCGUGCUUCCUAGCUGAAGAGUUGUUGUGCUCUGAGUCCGCUGUUGAUAGCACCCAUAGACCACCUCCUUCCUGCUAAUUAGGCCUCAUGAACACGGCCUCUGGAAAUGGCUUGAGAAGUGUGUUGGGUGGGUGGUUUUUUUCCGACCAGCCACUACGCCAUCAUAAAUAAGGGAACGGUGCUGUAUGUAGCUAUUACACCAGGCUCGUUUGGCAGGCCGUAAUUUAAUAGAACAACAACGAUCAGACUGGUAUAUCAGUUAAUUUUCAAAACAUUUUAUUCCACACAAAUUAGCACAGGUCCUGGAGGGCAAAAUGACAAGAGGUUACUCGUACACUGUGUAUUUAAUUAAUUGAAAAAUGCUCAGAUUGCUUUUACAGUUGUUAUUAGAAAGUAGAAUCAGUGUUGCCAGUGCUCAACCAUAAUUAGAGCCCCAGGGAAUUAAAUAUUUAGCAUUAGUAAUGUAACAGCACUUAGGACACAAAUUUCUAUUUUUGUAAUGAAAGCAAUGCAGCAUAAGUGCAAAUGGCUGAAACGACAGCUGUGACAAGUGAAGCAGCCUGGGAUAUUUCAAUAGGACACCUCAUUGGACAGCAAGUCUUACCGCAUUACUCGUUCGUAAGAGAUCUGCAAGUCGAAAUCCCAGCAGCCACACAUGGCACCCCGUGCUCAGGCUUCUAAUUGCUCGCAGGACGAACGCUUGGACAAAUGUCACAGCGCCAGGGGUGGGGACGGGCCGUGUUGCCCCACGUACCGGGCAGGGCAGAGCGGGAAGCCAGCCCUUGUUUGUUGGGACUUUAAUUACAUCUUAAGCAGAAGCGCUUUCAGUAGCAGCACAGGGCGAGAGGUCGGACGUUGGGCUCUAACGAGCGGUGCUGGCGGAGGGCCCGAGGGAUUGGCUCUGCGCGGGGCCGUGCACAGCUCCGAGCUGCUUUGUUCUGAGCCGCGCGGCCCGUCGCGAGGUGCGGUGCUAAGCAGGAAUAAAGCACGACGACUUCAGUUCUCUGCUUUUUCUCUUCUCAGGGUGGAGGGGAAGGAGGGCAGUCCGAAGCCACCUGUGUUUCUUGAAUAUAAAAAAAAAAAAAAAAAAAAAAAAAAAAAAAGCCCAGUAUUUGGGCCCGGCACGGCUUGUCAGUGUAUUUGAGGCUGUGUUUCCUCAGAACGCGCCAUCGGCUGGAAUUGCUGCCGCGCCGUUUGCAGACGCGCUUCGCUCCCGCUCGGCACGCGUUCGCUGUCCGCGCCGCGCUGCUCGGAGCCGCCGUGACGCC
ensembl:lncRNA